GUUGGGGUUCCCUGGCGGCAGUCGUGCGCUUAUCUUGAAAACAAGCGUACGUUCACGCGUACCGUGGGUUCGAAUCCCACCUCCUCCGC
rnacentral:tRNA from 1 species